AUCGCUUCUCGAGCUUUUUAGCUCAGAUCAAAGUGUAGUAUCUGUUCUUUACUGUUUCAUCGCAGUAAAAUCCUCUACGAGGAUUAUGUGAUUGAACUAUUUUUGGGACUUNACGUAGAACGAUUCCCGGUGCUUAAAAUGGUCAGUAAAGUCGACACUUUUUUUAUUCCAUCAUUUCCUUGG
rnacentral:snRNA from 1 species